UGGAUCCAGACUUUGAUUAUGGCUCAGGACGAACGCUGGCGGCGCGCCUAACACAUGCAAGUCGAACGAGAGAGAGGGAGCUUGCUUCCUCGAUCGAGUGGCGAACGGGUGAGUAACGCGUGAGGAACCUGCCUCAAAGAGGGGGACAACAGUUGGAAACGACUGCUAAUACCGCAUAAGCCCACGGCUCGGCAUCGAGCAGAGGGAAAAGGAGCAAUCCGCUUUGAGAUGGCCUCGCGUCCGAUUAGCUAGUUGGUGAGGUAACGGCCCACCAAGGCGACGAUCGGUAGCCGGACUGAGAGGUUGAACGGCCACAUUGGGACUGAGACACGGCCCAGACUCCUACGGGAGGCAGCAGUGGGGAAUAUUGCACAAUGGGGGAAACCCUGAUGCAGCGACGCCGCGUGGAGGAAGAAGGUCUUCGGAUUGUAAACUCCUGUUGUUGAGGAAGAUAAUGACGGUACUCAACAAGGAAGUGACGGCUAACUACGUGCCAGCAGCCGCGGUAAAACGUAGGUCACAAGCGUUGUCCGGAAUUACUGGGUGUAUAGGGAGCGCAGGCGGGAGAUCAAGUUGGAAGUGAAAUCCAUGGGCUCAACCCAUGAACUGCUUUCAAAACUGAUUGUCUUGAGUAGUGCAGAGGUAGGCGGAAUUCCCGGUGUAGCGGUGGAAUGCGUAGAUAUCGGGAGGAACACCAGUGGCGAAGGCGGCCUACUGGGCACCAACUGACGCUGAGGCUCGAAAGUGUGGGUAGCAAACAGGAUUAGAUACCCUGGUAGUCCACACCGUAAACGAUGAUUACUAGGUGUUGGAGGAUUGACCCCUUCAGUGCCGCAGUUAACACAAUAAGUAAUCCACCUGGGGAGUACGACCGCAAGGUUGCAACUCAAAGGAAUUGACGGA
rnacentral:rRNA from 1 species